AUGGUACUGCCAGUCCACCUUAUGGCGGCAACGCAAUUGCCGGCCUGGGCGAUCAAAAUCAUCAACCAUCAUUGUCGUAGCUUCAUUUGGAAGGGCGAGGAAGAGAAUAACGGGGGCAAUUGCCUGCUACCAUGGUCUAGGGUAUGCAUGCCCCAGGAGCUUGGCGGGCUUGGAGUUUUGAACCUGAUGUGGUUUGGUCUGGCGCUGCGCUGUAAAUGGCCUUGGUUCCGUUGGGGGGCGGAUGAGAGGCCGUGGCAUGCUUUGCCUGACGUGACGGAGAGGGAGGUCCAGGCUCUUUUCAACACGGCUUGCCGAGUCAAGCUGGGAUCCGGGGAGAUGGCCGGAUUUUGAACAGACCGGUGGCUGGAGGAUGGCAAUCAGGCCUGGACCAAAGACGUCGCAGGCGGGCUAUCGCUACCCGCCAUUGUGUUGUUCCUCAAGGUAUGGGAGUUGGCGGAGAACACAACUCUCAAUGCGGAAGCCAGGGAUACACCGCGCUGGAUGUUGACGGCUGAUGAGCAAUUCUCAGUCCAGAGCGCCUACAGUUUGUUCUUCAUAGGAAACACCCGCUUUGCCUACUCUAAGUCAAUUUGAAAAUCGAAGGCUCCACCACGUUGCAAAUUCUUCAUGUGGCUUGUGGUGCACAAAAGGUGUCUCGCGACAGACAACCUAGAACGACAAAGCUGGCUGUCCAAUGGAGUGUGUCCGCUCUGCCUGUCUGCGCCGAAAGACUGCACUCACCUCUUCGUCCACUGCCCGUAUACCCAACAGGUUUGGUUGCCCUUCAAAGCCUGGACGAAUGCAGAUUUCAUAAUCCCCAACGCUUCUUUCACAUCCACGGAGGACUGGUGGCUGCGGGCUAGGGUGGCAAUCCUGAAGACAGUCAGGAGGAACUUCGAUACGGUGAUCAUCCUGCUGCACUGGAGGGUGUGGAAGGAGUGA
rnacentral:rRNA from 1 species